GCCGCGGUAUAUUGACUGUACAAAGGUAGCAUAAUCAUUAGUUUAUUAAUUGUAAACUGGAAUGAAUGAUUGGACGAGAAAAAUUCUGUUUCAGAUUAAUUUUGAUGAAUUUAAUUUGUUUUUGAAAAAGAAAAUAUAUUUAUGAAAGACGAGAAGACCCUGUAGAGUUUUAUUUAGAAAUUUAUUAAGAUAUAGAUUAGGUUUUAUUAAUUUAGUUGGGGUAACUUUGAUUUGAAAUAUUCUGUUUUUUAAUUAUAAAAAUAAGUUUAUUUGAACUAAUAAUUAGUUAUUUGGUUAAAUUACCUCAGGGAUAACAGCAUAAUUAAAUUAAGGAGUUCUUAUUUGUAAUUUAGUUUGUGACCUCGAUGUUGAAUUA
rnacentral:rRNA from 1 species